AAAACAAAGAGAACGUUACCUGCGCUCUGGCCUAAACAUUUAAAUGUACAUGGGGAUUUAGGCCAGAGCGCAGGUAACGUUCUCUUUGUUUUU